rnacentral:rRNA from 11 species
AAAUUGAAGAGUUUGAUCAUGGCUCAGAUUGAACGCUGGCGGCAGGCCUAACACAUGCAAGUCGAACGGUAACAGGAAGCAGCUUGCUGCUUUGCUGACGAGUGGCGGACGGGUGAGUAAUGUCUGGGAAACUGCCUGAUGGAGGGGGAUAACUACUGGAAACGGUGGCUAAUACCGCAUAACGUCGCAAGACCAAAGAGGGGGACCUUCGGGCCUCUUGCCAUCAGAUGUGCCCAGAUGGGAUUAGCUUGUUGGUGAGGUAACGGCUCACCAAGGCGACGAUCCCUAGCUGGUCUGAGAGGAUGACCAGCCACACUGGAACUGAGACACGGUCCAGACUCCUACGGGAGGCAGCAGUGGGGAAUAUUGCACAAUGGGCGCAAGCCUGAUGCAGCCAUGCCGCGUGUAUGAAGAAGGCCUUCGGGUUGUAAAGUACUUUCAGCGGGGAGGAAGGUGUUGUGGUUAAUAACCGCAGCAAUUGACGUUACCCGCAGAAGAAGCACCGGCUAACUCCGUGCCAGCAGCCGCGGUAAUACGGAGGGUGCAAGCGUUAAUCGGAAUUACUGGGCGUAAAGCGCACGCAGGCGGUCUGUCAAGUCGGAUGUGAAAUCCCCGGGCUCAACCUGGGAACUGCAUUCGAAACUGGCAGGCUUGAGUCUUGUAGAGGGGGGUAGAAUUCCAGGUGUAGCGGUGAAAUGCGUAGAGAUCUGGAGGAAUACCGGUGGCGAAGGCGGCCCCCUGGACAAAGACUGACGCUCAGGUGCGAAAGCGUGGGGAGCAAACAGGAUUAGAUACCCUGGUAGUCCACGCCGUAAACGAUGUCUACUUGGAGGUUGUGCCCUUGAGGCGUGGCUUCCGGAGCUAACGCGUUAAGUAGACCGCCUGGGGAGUACGGCCGCAAGGUUAAAACUCAAAUGAAUUGACGGGGGCCCGCACAAGCGGUGGAGCAUGUGGUUUAAUUCGAUGCAACGCGAAGAACCUUACCUGGUCUUGACAUCCACGGAAGAAUUCAGAGAUGGAUUUGUGCCUUCGGGAACCGUGAGACAGGUGCUGCAUGGCUGUCGUCAGCUCGUGUUGUGAAAUGUUGGGUUAAGUCCCGCAACGAGCGCAACCCUUAUCCUUUGUUGCCAGCGGUCCGGCCGGGAACUCAAAGGAGACUGCCAGUGAUAAACUGGAGGAAGGUGGGGAUGACGUCAAGUCAUCAUGGCCCUUACGACCAGGGCUACACACGUGCUACAAUGGCGCAUACAAAGAGAAGCGACCUCGCGAGAGCAAGCGGACCUCAUAAAGUGCGUCGUAGUCCGGAUUGGAGUCUGCAACUCGACUCCAUGAAGUCGGAAUCGCUAGUAAUCGUGGAUCAGAAUGCCACGGUGAAUACGUUCCCGGGCCUUGUACACACCGCCCGUCACACCAUGGGAGUGGGUUGCAAAAGAAGUAGGUAGCUUAACCUUCGGGAGGGCGCUUACCACUUUGUGAUUCAUGACUGGGGUGAAGUCGUAACAAGGUAACCGUAGGGGAACCUGCGGUUGGAUCACCUCCUUA